rnacentral:tRNA from 2 species
CGGAUUAGAGCCAGGCGGUUAGGCGCGUUCUUUGGGAGAGCGAAUAGUUAUGUUCGAUUCAUAAUAAUCCGA